rnacentral:rRNA from 1 species
AACGAACGCUGGCGGCAUGCCUAACACAUGCAAGUCGAACGAAGGCUUCGGCCUUAGUGGCGCACGGGUGCGUAACGCGUGGGAAUCUGCCCCUCGGUUCGGAAUAACAGUUAGAAAUGACUGCUAAUACCGGAUGAUGACUUCGGUCCAAAGAUUUAUCGCCGAGGGAUGAGCCCGCGUAAGAUUAGGUAGUUGGUGGGGUAAAGGCCUACAAAGCCGACGAUCUUUAGCUGGUCUGAGAGGAUGAUCAGCCACACUGGGACUGAGACACGGCCCAGACUCCUCCGGGAGGCAGCAGUGGGGAAUAUUGGACAAUGGGCGAAAGCCUGAUCCAGCAAUGCCGCGUGAGUGAUGGAGGCCUUAGGGUUGUAAAGCUCUUUUACCAGGGAUGAUAAUGACAGUACCUGGAGAAUAAGCUCCGGCUAACUCCGUGCCAGCCGCCGCAGUAA